UUCCCCCGUAGCUCAACGGCAGAGCAUUCGACUGUUAAUCGAAGGGUUGUUGGUUCGAAUCCAACCGGGGGAGCCGA
rnacentral:tRNA from 1 species